UACGUAGGUGGCAAGCGUUGUCCGGAUUUACUGGGCGUAAAGAGCGCGCAGGCGGUCGUUCAAGUCGCGUGUGAAAGCCCCCGGCUCAACUGGGGAGGGUCACGCGAUACUGAUCGACUCGAAGGCAGGAGAGGGUAGUGGAAUUCCCGGUGUAGAGGUGAAAUUCGUAGAUAUCGGGAGGAACACCAGUGGCGAAGGCGGCGAUCUGGGAAGAUACUGACGCUGAGGUGCGAAAGCGGUGGGGAGCAAACAGGG
rnacentral:rRNA from 1 species